rnacentral:rRNA from 1 species
AUGCAGAACGCGGAGGGAGAGAGGGGAGUCGACCGUGACAAGAAUGUGCCACUGCCAGAUAUGAAUAUUGUUAACCAUGAAAAAGAACCUAUCAACAAGAUCGAUGUGCAGAUAGAAAUAAUAGCAAAUUCGCGUCAUAACAAACCAAGAAGAUCAAAUACAAAUAUUACACCACAAGAUUAUAUUUGCACAGCGGACGAUAUUUCCAUUAUUAAAUCAAUCAUGUCCUUACAUGAAAAAACGAAGUUGGUGCACAUCAAUGAUGCAUUAUUAACAAACGCUGAGAUGAGAUGCCUUACGCAUGAUGAUGUGUUUUUGCAUGAUGAUGUAAUAAAUGCAUACAUAUACUGCAUAAGUGCCCAGGAGCAUCUGCAAAAUAGAGCGGAUGGAAAGGUAUUCCUUCCAAUUAACAUCAGAAAAUGCCACUGGUAUCUAUCAGUAAUCAAUGUGAAGAAACGAGAGAUACAGGUACUGGACUCGCUUGGAGUUGGAAUGGGCCGCAGUGACCUCACUAUGACGUUACAAGGACUUGACAAGCAUCUAAAAAUCGCAUGUGAUAUGCCGGAGUUUAAGAGAGGUGAUAGGUAG